rnacentral:misc_RNA from 1 species
GAAAAAUCGGAGACGUCCUGAUUCUUAUGUUGCUGAGGCAGAACAUCCAUACAAAUCUUCCAAAGUAGAGAGCCGAUGGCAGUGGAAUAGAGAUGCACAGAAUCUACCAAGUCAUAUGCCCUUGCAUUCAUUCACUGAAGGUCAAGGGAGAAAUAGUGCAAGAUCUUUUUUCCAGGGUCAGGCACCUGGACCUAAACUAGGAUCAGAAAAUCCAGCCAAGGACGGUAG